GGCCUCAUAGCUUAGUUGGUUAGAGCGACGGUGCGUGAUCUAAUCCGGUGGUCGUGGGUUCAAAUCCCACCGGGGUCA
rnacentral:tRNA from 1 species